rnacentral:rRNA from 1 species
GAUGAACGCUAGCUACAGGCUUAACACAUGCAAGUCGAGGGACCGGCGCACGGGUGAGUAACACGUAUCCAACCUGCACUUUACUCUAGGCUAGCCUUUCGCAAGAACGAUUAAUACCAGAUGGAACGUAUGGGGAGUCGUUCCAUUAGGUUGUUGGUGAGGUAACGGCUACCCCAGCCUUCGGUGGUUAGGGGUUCGGAGAGGAAGGUCCCCCAGAGGGGAACUGAGACCCGGUCCAAACACCUACGGGAGGCAGCAGUAAGUAAUAUGGGUCAAUGUGCGCUAGCCUGAACCAGCCAAGUAGCGUGAAGGAUGAAGGCUUAUGGGUCGUAAACUUCUUUUAUAUAAGCAUCUGUAUUAUAUGAAUAAGGAGCGGCUAACUCCGUGCCAGCAGCCGCGGUAAUAC